UACGUAGGGUGCGAGCGUUAAUCGGAAUUACUGGGCGUAAAGCGUGCGCAGGCGGUUAUAUAAGACAGCUGUGAAAUCCCCGGGCUCAACCUGGGAAUUGCAUCUGUGACUGUAUAGCUAGAGUACGGUAGAGGGGGAUGGAAUUCCGCGUGUAGCAGUGAAAUGCGUAGAUAUGCGGAGGAACACCGAUGGCGAAGGCAAUCCCCUGGACCUGUACUGACGCUCAUGCACGAAAGCGUGGGGAGCAAACAGG
rnacentral:rRNA from 1 species